rnacentral:rRNA from 1 species
UACGGGGGGAGCAAGCGUUGUUCGGAUUUACUGGGCGUAAAGCGCGCGCAGGCGGCUCUUUAAGUCUCGUGGUCAAAUGCCGGGGCUCAACCCCGAGCGUGCCGGGGAUACUGGAGGGCUGGAGACAGGUAGAGGCAAGCGGAAUUCCGGGUGUAGCGGUGGAAUGCGUAGAGAUCCGGAAGAACACCGGAGGCGAAGGCGGCUUGCUGGACCUGGUCUGACGCUGAGGCGCGAAAGCUAGGGGAGCAAACAGG